AUUGAACGCUGGCGGCAUGCUUUACACAUGCAAGUCGGACGGCAGCAUAAAAGAGCUUGCUCUUUUGAUGGCGAGUGGCGAACGGGUGAGUAAUGCAUCGGAACGUACCGAGUAGUGGGGGAUAACUGUCCGAAAGGAUGGCUAAUACCGCAUACUCUCUGAGGAGGAAAGCAGGGGACCUUAGGGCCUUGCGCUAUUUGAGCGGCCGAUGUCUGAUUAGCUAGUUGGUGGGGUAAGAGCCCACCAAGGCGACGAUCAGUAGCGGGUCUGAGAGGAUGAUCCGCCACACUGGGACUGAGACACGGCCCAGACUCCUACGGGAGGCAGCAGUGGGGAAUUUUGGACAAUGGGCGCAAGCCUGAUCCAGCCAUGCCGCGUGUAUGAAGAAGGCCUUCGGGUUGUAAAGUACUUUUGUCAGGGAAGAAAAGCCUGAGGAUAACACCCUCAGGUCAUGACGGUACCUGAAGAAUAAGCACCGGCUAACUACGUGCCAGCAGCCGCGGUAAUACGUAGGGUGCGAGCGUUAAUCGGAAUUACUGGGCGUAAAGCGAGCGCAGACGGUUAUUUAAGCAAGAUGUGAAAGCCCCGGGCUCAACCUGGGAACUGCGUUUUGAACUGGGUAACUAGAGUGUGUCAGAGGGGGGUAGAAUUCCACGUGUAGCAGUGAAAUGCGUAGAGAUGUGGAGGAAUACCGAUGGCGAAGGCAGCCCCCUGGGAUAACACUGACGUUCAUGCUCGAAAGCGUGGGUAGCAAACAGG
rnacentral:rRNA from 1 species